rnacentral:rRNA from 1 species
GACGGAGGGUGCAAGCGUUGUUCGGAAUUACUGGGCGUAAAGCGUACGUAGGCGGCGGAUUAAGUCGAAUGUUAAAGCCUGGGGCUCAACCCCAGAGAUGCAUUCGAUACUGGUCUGCUAGAGGGUGAUAGAGGAAAGCGGAAUUCCCAGUGUAGCGGUGAAAUGCGUAGAUAUUGGGAGGAACAUCAGUAGCGAAGGCGGCUUUCUGGGUCACACCUGACGCUGAGGUACGAAAGCGUGGGGAGCGAACAGG